GAAACUCCAGUCCGUAGUCAGGGAUGUAAAGAAAAUGAAAACUGGAAAACUGCAAGCUUUUGAAAUGCAGGUGUGAAUAUGAAGUCUGAAGGACAGCCUGAGGCUUGGCGAUGAAGGAUCAGAAACGUGGUGUUUUGAUGGGUUGUUCGUAAGUCCUAAGCUCUAAGAGAAGAGCAUGUGGUGCAUGGAUCUUUAUCCCCAGGUUGACCAGUGAUUAAGGAUCAGCAACAACACUGUGCCACAAGCACUGAAGAUGAAAGACCGUUGAUAUGCAAGUGAAUCCCUAGAUGCCACUACAGUUUUAAGGGAGACUGGGGACCACGUCACAUCAGGAAUCAAAGUAGAAAAGCUUCACAGGAAUUGGCUGCUGAAGGGGGAAAAAAAAUGGCAGAAACUGGGCAUAAAUGAGUUAAACAGCCACCUGUGGCAGUUCUUGACACCCUUGCAAAGCUAAGUUCUUGACAUCUUGCAAAGCUAAGGAUGGGUGAACUGUAUAAAACCACCAAAGCAAGUAUCUUGAUCCUUCAAGUCUAGCUAGGAGCCAGAUGAGCAAGUAAAUCUAGCUUUGCAGCACACCUCAUCCUGAGCAAUCCACAUCCGUCAGAGUUAGGUCAAGAAGGUAGAUAGGUAUUAGAAAGGAAUCUCCCAAACUCAAAAGAAUUGCCCAAAGAAAAGACAACAUAGACAGCCAGAGGUACACAAUAGUAUUUUCCAUCAUCACUCUGUUUUGUCCAGAUGUGUAUUACAUUGUUUCCAUAGUCUGCCACUUGAUUCAGCUUUUGUACUCAGUAAAUCAAUAAUACAACCUGUGGAUGACCACAGAAUGUAUAUUAAUGGCAGGUUUUGCUUUUCUUCCCCAGCCCUAUUCAGAUAUACAAUGCCCUACCUUUGUUUUGAGAUCCUUUCCCAUUUCUCCCAUCCCCAACAGAUAACAAGGACAUUGCGUCACAACACACAAAGAGGCCCAAAGGCACGCCUUCAGCAAAGGAAAGGCACCUGCAUUCCAACUGAAGUGUAGCAAGUGAUGGCAAUGUUAGAGGAGUAGUGAGACCUAAUAGAGGGAGUAAAUUCUCUUUCCAAGUUUAGCUGCUACGUACUUCGGCUGAAAAGCUGAAAUGGCCUUUAAAAAGUGAUUACGGCUCAUUUACUAAACUCUAAAAUACACAAUUUGAGACCUGUGGAUAUAGCAGGAGAAUGAAGCCAGG
ensembl:lncRNA